GCGACAAGAGGACGAUGACGGGCAGCUUGGAGGGACCCAAACUGGUAGCCGACGGCGACCCCCGACGCCCGAAAAAAUAAAAAAAAUCGAAUACUCUAUUUUGAUAAAAUUCAACGACUUCGGUCGCCGGCGAGCAUGCACACCGGCAUGGGAAGGAAGGAGAAGAAGAGAGGAAGGGGAGGAGGCUCAUCUUCGAUCCCGGCGAAGCUUUUCUGACGAGAAAUCUCGAUGGGCACAGGGACGGUCUUUCGCAGUGGCUUUCCAGCGAUUGCCGCCGACGGACUUCGGGUUCUCCGGUGAGAGGGAGAGAGGAGGGUUCUCCUCCUUAAAUAGAGCUGGAGGGGGUUCUUUCCGAAUCCAGUUGGGAGCCGGUGAGGGGAGGAAGAAGACUCUCUCCGGGAGUCUUCUCCUUUAUUUCUUCCUUCUCUUUUUUUUUUUGUUUUUAUUUGUAUAUUGGGCUCGAUUUAAGGCCCAAUGGGCCGGGCCAUGACAUGAUCUUUCGUAGAAUAUUCACCGAGUAAUUACAGUUAGGAAGAUGAUCUAUAUUCUUGAAGUAUGCUUUGCGGGGAGGACAGCAGAAGAGAGCCAACCAUCCUUUCUUGUACCUCCCCAGCUUUUUGCCUGUUCUUGGUGGCCACA
rnacentral:lncRNA from 1 species